GAUCCUGGCUCAGGACGAACGCUGGCGGCGUGCCUAAUACAUGCAAGUCGAGCGAAUGAUAGGGAGCUUGCUCCCUUGAUUUAGCGGCGGACGGGUGAGUAACACGUGGGCAACCUACCUGUAAGACUGGGAUAACUUCGGGAAACCGGAGCUAAUACCGGAUACUUUUUUUUCUCGCAUGAGAAGAGAUGGAAAGACGGUUUCGGCUGUCACUUACAGAUGGGCCCGCGGCGCAUUAGCUAGUUGGUGAGGUAAUGGCUCACCAAGGCCACGAUGCGUAGCCGACCUGAGAGGGUGAUCGGCCACACUGGGACUGAGACACGGCCCAGACUCCUACGGGAGGCAGCAGUAGGGAAUCUUCCGCAAUGGACGAAAGUCUGACGGAGCAACGCCGCGUGAACGAAGAAGGCUUUCGGGUCGUAAAGUUCUGUUGUUAGGGAAGAACAAGUACCAGAGUAACUGCUGGUACCUUGACGGUACCUAACCAGAAAGCCACGGCUAACUACGUGCCAGCAGCCGCGGUAAUACGUAGGUGGCAAGCGUUGUCCGGAAUUAUUGGGCGUAAAGCGCGCGCAGGUGGUUCCUUAAGUCUGAUGUGAAAGCCCACGGCUCAACCGUGGAGGGUCAUUGGAAACUGGGGAACUUGAGUGCAGAAGAGGAAAGUGGAAUUCCAAGUGUAGCGGUGAAAUGCGUAGAGAUUUGGAGGAACACCAGUGGCGAAGGCGACUUUCUGGUCUGUAACUGACACUGAGGCGCGAAAGCGUGGGGAGCGAACAGGAUUAGAUACCCUGGUAGUCCACGCCGUAAACGAUGAGUGCUAAGUGUUAGAGGGUUUCCGCCCUUUAGUGCUGCAGCUAACGCAUUAAGCACUCCGCCUGGGGAGUACGGCCGCAAGGCUGAAACUCAAAGGAAUUGACGGGGGCCCGCACAAGCGGUGGAGCAUGUGGUUUAAUUCGAAGCAACGCGAAGAACCUUACCAGGUCUUGACAUCCUUUUGCCCUCCCUAGAGAUAGGGACUUCCCUUCGGGGACAAAAGUGACAGGUGGUGCAUGGUUGUCGUCAGCUCGUGUCGUGAGAUGUUGGGUUAAGUCCCGCAACGAGCGCAACCCUUGAUCUUAGUUGCCAGCAUUUAGUUGGGCACUCUAAGGUGACUGCCGGUGACAAACCGGAGGAAGGUGGGGAUGACGUCAAAUCAUCAUGCCCCUUAUGACCUGGGCUACACACGUGCUACAAUGGAUGGUACAAAGAGCUGCGAACCCGCGAGGGUAAGCGAAUCUCAUAAAGCCAUUCUCAGUUCGGAUUGUAGGCUGCAACUCGCCUACAUGAAGCCGGAAUCGCUAGUAAUCGUGGAAUCAGCAUGCCACGGUGAAUACGUUCCCGGG
rnacentral:rRNA from 1 species